rnacentral:rRNA from 1 species
AUUGAACGCUGGCGGCAGGCCUAACACAUGCAAGUCGAGCGGAGCGGCGGACGGGUGAGUAAUGCCUAGGAAUCUGCCUGGUAGUGGGGGAUAAAGUACGGAAACGGGCGCUAAUACCGCAUACUAUCAGAUGAGCCUAGGUCGGAUUAGCUAGUUGGUGGGGUAAAGGCCUACCAAGGAGACGAUCGGUAACUGGUCUGAGAGGAUGAUCAGUCAAACUGGAACUGAGACACGGUCCAUGCUCCUACGCGAGGCAGCAGUGGGGAAUAGUGGACAAUGGGCGCGAGCCUGAGCCAGCCAUGCCGCGUGUGUGAAGAAGGUCUUCGGAUUGUAAAGCACUUUAAGUUGGGAGGCGUUACCAACAGAAUAAGCACCGGCUAACUCCGAGCCAGCCGCCGCGGUAAUUC